GGCACCUUAGCUCAGUUGGUAGAGCAACGGACUGAAAAUCCGUGUGUCCGCCGUUCGAUUCGGCGAGGUGCCACCA
rnacentral:tRNA from 1 species